GAUGAACGCUGACAGAAUGCUUAACACAUGCAAGUCUACUUGAACUUCGGUUUGGGUGGCGGACGGGUGAGUAACGCGUAAAGAACUUGCCUCACAGUUAGGGACAACAUUUGGAAACGAAUGCUAAUACCUGAUAUUAUGAUUUUAGGGCAUCCUAGGAUUAUGAAAGCUAUAUGUGCUGUGAGAGAGCUUUGCGUCCCAUUAGCUAGUUGGAGAGGUAACGGCUCACCAAGGCGAUGAUGGGUAGCCGGCCUGAGAGGGUGAACGGCCACAAGGGGACUGAGACACGGCCCUUACUCCUACGGGAGGCAGGAGUGGGGAAUAUUGGAAAAUGGACCAAAAGUCUGAUCCAGCAAUUCUGUGUGCACGAUGACGUUUUUCGGAAUGUAAAGUGCUUUCAGUUGGGAAGAAAAAAAUGACGGUACCAACAGAAGAAGUGACGGCUAAAUACGUG
rnacentral:rRNA from 1 species